GAUGAACGCUGGCGGCGUGCUUAACACAUGCAAGUCGAACGAUGAAGCCCAGCUUGCUGGGUGGAUUAGUGGCGAACGGGUGAGUAUCACGUGAGUAACCUGCCCUUAACUCUGGGAUAAGCCUGGGAAACUGGGUCUAAUACCGGAUAGGAGCGCCUACCGCAUGGUGGGUGUUGGAAAGAUUUAUCGGUUUUGGAUGGACUCGCGGCCUAUCAGCUUGUUGGUGAGGUAAUGGCUCACCAAGGCGACGACGGGUAGCCGGCCUGAGAGGGUGACCGGCCACACUGGGACUGAGACACGGCCCAGACUCCUACGGGAGGCAGCAGUGGGGAAUAUUGCACAAUGGGCGAAAGCCUGAUGCAGCGACGCCGCGUGAGGGAUGACGGCCUUCGGGUUGUAAACCUCUUUCAGUAGGGAAGAAGCGAAAGUGACGGUACCUGCAGAAGAAGCACCGGCUAACUACGUG
rnacentral:rRNA from 1 species